rnacentral:rRNA from 1 species
GAUGAACGCUGGCGGCGUGCCUAAUACAUGCAAGUCGAACGGAGAUUGUAGCAAUACGGUCUUAGUGGCGAACGGGUGAGUAACGCGUUGGUAACCUGCCCCGAAGCGUGGGAUAACGGUCCGAAAGGGCCACUAAUACCACAUGUGAUCCCGAGGAAUAGAUACUUGGGAUGAAAGGAGCAAUUCGCUUCGGGAGGGACCUGCGUCCCAUCAGCUAGUUGGUAAGGUAAUGGCUUACCAAGGCGAUGACGGGUAGGGGACCUGAGAGGGUGGCCCCCCCACAAUGGAACUGAAACACGGUCCAUACACCUACGGGUGGCAGCAGUAGGGAAUAUUAGUAAUGGGCGAAAGCCUGAACUAGCAACGCCGCGUGUGCGAAGAAGGCCUUUGGGUCGUAAAGCUCUGUCGGGAAGGAAGAUAAUGACGGUACUUCCCGAGGAAGCCCCGGCUAACUACGUG